UUGAACGCUGGCGGCAGGCCUAACACAUGCAAGUCGAACGGUAACAGGAAGCAGCUUGCUGCUUUGCUGACGAGUGGCGGACGGGUGAGUAAUGUCUGGGAAACUGCCUGAUGGAGGGGGAUAACUACUGGAAACGGUAGCUAAUACCGCAUAACGUCGCAAGACCAAAGAGGGGGACCUUCGGGCCUCUUGCCAUCGGAUGUGCCCAGAUGGGAUUAGCUUGUUGGUGGGGUAACGGCUCACCAAGGCGACGAUCCCUAGCUGGUCUGAGAGGAUGACCAGCCACACUGGAACUGAGACACGGUCCAGACUCCUACGGGAGGCAGCAGUGGGGAAUAUUGCACAAUGGGCGCAAGCCUGAUGCAGCCAUGCCGCGUGUAUGAAGAAGGCCUUCGGGUUGUAAAGUACUUUCAGCGGGGAGGAAGGGAGUAAAGUUAAUACCUUUACUCAUUGACGUUACCCGCAGAAGAAGCACCGGCUAACUCCGUGCCAGCAGCCGCGGUAAUACGGAGGGUGCAAGCGUUAAUCGGAAUUACUGGGCGUAAAGCGCACGCAGGCGGUUUGUUAAGUCAGAUGUGAAAUCCCCGGGCUCAACCUGGGAACUGCAUCUGAUACUGGCAAGCUUGAGUCUCGUAGAGGGGGGUAGAAUUCCAGGUGUAGCGGUGAAAUGCGUAGAGAUCUGGAGGAAUACCGGUGGCGAAGGCGGCCCCCUGGACGAAGACUGACGCUCAGGUGCGAAAGCGUGGGGAGCAAACAGGAUUAGAUACCCUGGUAGUCCACGCCGUAAACGAUGUCGACUUGGAGGUUGUGCCCUUGAGGCGUGGCUUCCGGAGCUAACGCGUUAAGUCGACCGCCUGGGGAGUACGGCCGCAAGGUUAAAACUCAAAUGAAUUGACGGGGGCCCGCACAAGCGGUGGAGCAUGUGGUUUAAUUCGAUGCAACGCGAAGAACCUUACCUGGUCUUGACAUCCACGGAAGUUUUCAGAGAUGAGAAUGUGCCUUCGGGAACCGUGAGACAGGUGCUGCAUGGCUGUCGUCAGCUCGUGUUGUGAAAUGUUGGGUUAAGUCCCGCAACGAGCGCAACCCUUAUCCUUUGUUGCCAGCGGUCCGGCCGGGAACUCAAAGGAGACUGCCAGUGAUAAACUGGAGGAAGGUGGGGAUGACGUCAAGUCAUCAUGGCCCUUACGACCAGGGCUACACACGUGCUACAAUAGCGCAUACAAAGAGAAGCGACCUCGCGAGAGCAAGCGGACCUCAUAAAGUGCGUCGUAGUCCGGAUUGGAGUCUGCAACUCGACUCCAUGAAGUCGGAAUCGCUAGUAAUCGUGGAUCAGAAUGCCACGGUGAAUACGUUCCCGGGCCUUGUACACACCGCCCGUCACACCAUGGGAGUGGGUUGCAAAAGAAGUAGGUAGCUUAACCUUCGGGAGGGCGCUUACCACUUUGUGAUUCAUGACUGGGGUG
rnacentral:rRNA from 1 species